rnacentral:rRNA from 1 species
GACGAACGCUGGCGGCGUGCUUAACACAUGCAAGUCGAACGGAAAGGCCCUGCUGUUGUGGGGUGCUCGAGUUGCGAACGGGUGAGUAACACGUGAGUAACCUGCCCUUGACUUUGGGAUAACUUCAGGAAACUGGGGCUAAUACCGGAUAGGAGCUCCUGCUGCAUGGUGGGGGUUGGAAAGUUUCGGCGGUUGGGGAUGGACUCGCGGCUUAUCAGCUUGGUGGUGGGGUAGUGGCUUACCAAGGCUUUGACGGGUAGCCGGCCUGAGAGGGUGACCGGCCAAACUGGGAUGGGAAUACGGCCCAGACCCCUACGGGAGGCAGGAGUGGGGAAUAUUGCACAAUGGGCGGAAGCCAGAUGCAGCAACGCCGCGUGCGGGAUGACGGCCUUCGGGUUGUAAACCGCUUUCGCCUGUGACGAAGCGUGAGUGACGGUAAUGGGUAAAGAAGCACCGGCUAACUACGUG